rnacentral:rRNA from 1 species
CCUACGGGUGGCUGCAGUGAGGAAUAUUGGUCAAUGGGCGGGAGCCUGAACCAGCCAAGUAGCGUGAAGGAUGACAGCCCUAUGGGUUUUAAACUUCUUUUAUAAGGGAAUAAAGUGCCCCACGUGUGGGGUUUUGUAUGUACCUUAUGAAUAAGCAUCGGCUAAUCCCGUGCCAGCAGCCGCGGUAAUACGGAAGAUUCGAGCGUUAUCCGGUUUUAUUGGGUUUAAAGGGAGCGUGGGCGGUUCCAUAAGUCAGCGGUAAAAUCGUGCGGCACAACCGUACCGUGCCGUUGAAACUAUGGGACUUGAGUAUGCGCAGGGUACAUGAAAGUCGGGGUGUGGCGGUGAAAUG